CUCCAGACUGGGCAACAGAGCAAGACGCUGUCUCAAAAAAAAAAAGAAAAAGAAAAAGAGAAAAGAGCGACACAAUCCCAUCGCACAUCUGUUAGAACAGCUACGGUUUCUUUAAUGGCAAUACCAAAUGUUGAUGAGGACGGAGAACAAAUGGAUCUCUCAUACAUUAUUGGUGGGAAUGCAAAAUGGCGCAACCACUUAGGAAAACAGUUUCUCAAAAAGCUGAACAUCCUCUUACCAUAUGAUCCAAAUAGGAAUGAAACUUAUGUCUACACGAAAACCAGCACACAUGUUUAUAGCAGCUCUGCUCACUACUGCCAAAUACUAGAAGCAGUCGCAAUGUUCUGCGCUAGGUGAUUGGAUAAACAAACUGGUACAUCUGUGCGGUGAAAUACAGCUCCGCCGUAGAAAGGAAUGAAAGGGAGAAAACAAAAGGAAUGAACCGUUAAUAUACACAGAAACUUGGAUUGAUCUCAGACAUUAUUCUGAGAAAAAUCCAGUCUCAAGGUUAUAUAAAGUAUAAUUACAUUUAUUAUUACAUUCUCAAAAAGCCAAAGCCUUAUUGUUGCAGAACAGAUGAGUGGUUGCCAGGGGCUGGGGUGGGAGACUGUGUGACUCCAGAGGGGCAGCACUUGGGAGUUUGGGGAGUGGUGGAACUGUUCUGUAUCCUAAUUGUGGUGGAGCUGAAACUCUGCAUGUUAAAACUCACAAGAGUUAAUUUUACUGUGUGUUAAUCUUAAAAAGAAGUUCAGCCAGCAAAAGUAUGCAAAAGUCAUCCUUUCCUUACAAGAUUUGCUUCAUUUGUGCCCUUGCUGGCGUUGCAUCCAAGUUGCAGCACUUGGAGCAGGCAAGGCAGGGGGCCGAGGAGCGGAGCCACAAGCUGCAGCAGGAGCUCGGCGGGAGGAUCGGCGCCCUGCAGCUGCAGCUCUCCCAGCUGCACGAGCAAUGCUCAAGCCUAGAGAAAGAAUUGAAAUCAGAAAAAGAGCAAAGACAAGCUCUUUAGCACGAAUUACAGCACAAGAAAGACACUUCCUCUCUACUCAGAACAGAGCUACAACAAUGGAACGAUUGCCAAAGGUGAGGUGGGCCAGCCUGGGAGAGGAGAGCUUCUGGCAGCCCCAGAAGCCCCUACCGUGCUCCUGGCAGGCUCCUCUCCCUGCCCCCUUUGUGUGGGAGUCAGGCAGCUCCAGGGUGCAGGGAGGCUGUUCCUCGCCUAGGGAGUUCCUGUUUUAGGAGCUUAAGGCAAAGACAAAGUAUAAGCCACUAAGCCUGCUGACCAGCUCAGAUAAAGGUGAGUGCCAUGAAGACAAUAAAACAGAACAGUGUCCUCGCUCGCCUGUGUGCAGGGGUCUGGGGAGGGAGUGGUUGGUGCGCAAAGGCCCCAGUGAGUGAUGCCCUGCAAAGCACCUCUGGAACAGAGACUGCAGGAGCAGACAGGAGUGUGAGGAGCAAAGGGGAGGCCUUAGGCGGCAGGCAGGAGGGAGCCCUUCACAGGCCCUGUGAGCCGGGGGAGGAACGUGAGUGUUAUUCUGAACACGAUGGGAAGCUGCUGGAGGGACAGGAUCCAUUUCAUUCGCGGACAGUCAUUGGCUACUGCGUGGAGAGUGGGUGGUAGGCUUGCAGGAGAGGAAGCUGGGAGGAACCAGUAAACAUCUUCGACCACGUGCCAGUCCUCACCUCAGCCACUCUGCCCAAGGUCAGGUCAUCCCUGGGAAGCAGAUUGACACUGCCCUCCACUUCCUCAACAUCACCUCAGUCCCCUGGAACACCCUCUCACUUAGAGGCAUGGCCUGGAUGCUGUGGGCUUCAGAGGGCGAGAGAAGUAGGGUCCAGCAGGCCUUCACCGUCUGGCUGUGGAGUUGGACCUCCCAGGAAACUCCGAGGCAGUGUGAAACAUUUGCCCUAAUGUAAAAUCAUCGGCUGUCUUUCCAGAGGGGAGGAGGCUCUGUGAUCCUGGACAGAGCUGACUGCAGCCCAGGGCGCUAUGGGGGGCUCCUCCCUUGUGGGGAUGGGCUGCCCUCUUCUCAGGCCCCUGCACUGCUGAGUGCUGCAGCACAACUGAGCCCAAACUGAACUCUCAGCACCUUCCCAGGAGGGGCCUUCAGGGCUGGAAUGACUUCUGGACCUGGAUUUUGUUGCAUUGAACAUGGUAAUGGACACCACUGCACGAGUCGAGUGAGUCAGGAAAGGCCCUUUUGAUUUCUAGUGGAAAGUGCCUGGAGUUGUUGGGGAAGGGAGAGCUUCCUCAAGAGCCAGGUCAGGCUUGGAGAGUGGAAGGGAGGAAAUGGAGGGCAGAAGAGGACUUUUAGAAAGUUCUGCCUCAUCCCGGGGCAUACCUCCUUUAUUCUGCU